AAAAAAAAAUGGGAGGAGACAAGUAUGAUCAGAGUAAAAUAUCCAGCAAAAAGCGCCUCAUUUUCCUUUAAUCAUUAGAAAAAUCAAAGGAAACUAAUCUAGUUAACUAAAACUGAAAUGAUAUGAUGCUAUUUUCUGGGCUGGAAAGUACCUAUGGGUCCAAAUUCACUCUGAACAUGCGGGGCAACUAGUCCAGAGUGACAGCUGGCAAUAAGAAGGCAACAGCUUUGCAUUUAUGUAGCACUUUUAAUGGAGGGAAGGAAGUCUGAUGCAAGACACAGAUGCAGUAAUAUAGUGGUGGAACAGGUUGGAGUCUUGAACCAGAUGGAAUAGGAUUUGCUGCAAACCAGCUGUCCAGAGGACUGAGUGAAGACCUGAAUCCCAUAGUUCGGGACACCACCCAAAACAAUGAGGACAGGAUUCCCGUGCCCUAUCAUAAUCUAAUGGCCUCAGCCAGCAGAUGCAAUCGUAUUGUGCUCUAUUAAUCACAACAGGCAUGUAGAAUCUCAGAAGAGAAGUUGCUGCUGAGCUGUCACAGUGUUUACAUUCUGAACAAAGCCAACUAUGGUGGCAGUGUCAAGCUGAACAAACUGGAAAAGGUUAAUUUGGUUCUCGCUGCUGUGUUCAAUAAAUGCCAGAGAAACUGA